UGGUCCAGUGGUGAUAACUGUUGGCGUUUGAAUCAUAGGCAAUGAACAGAACGCCUCACAUGUUGGACCCUGAGGUCCAA
rnacentral:snoRNA from 1 species